UCUGCCUGGAAAAAUGUUGAGUACUGGCAACUGUAGAGACUUCUCCAGUUGCCUUUCAUUCCACCGCAGUUUUUGGGACAAAGGGAGUCUUUGCAUGGCAUCUCACAAGGAGACGAGCCAACUGCAGGAGGAGCAUCAGCAGGCUAAAGAGAAAGACUGUUGUGUUGGAGGUGACCAUGGAAGGACUAAUAAUGUAUCGCCACCAUGCUAAAGAACAUUAGAUGACAUCAAAGACCACCAAAGGAGGCUCUAUCUGUUGGGCAAUCACUGGGAGCUGAUAGGAGAAUGGUUUUGUAAAUGUAAUGAAUAUGUUAUACGUGUGAAAGUAUAAUCUGUUCACAAUCAAUCAAUUGGGAGAGCAUGGGGAGCAUUUCUGGAGAGUUAUCCCAAUGUUAUCCCAGAGCUGCCAAUAAGAAUACCCGCUUAAUGGGAAUUUUUUGCUGGUAAGUUUCUUUGCAUCCAUUUGUUCAUUUUAUGUAUAGAAAAGGUCAGCAUCUAAAACACUGGAAAUUUUAUGUAGAAACAAUGUUUUUUUUUCUCCUGUGUUUUGAUCUUUAACUGCUGGCUGUUUAUACUCCAUUUGUAUACGCACACAGACAAAACUGCUGAUUGCUUACAAAGAUUCCUGGUAAAGAGGGUUUUCUUUCCAUCACAGGUCCUUUUAUUCCACCGUCUGCCUGUUUCCCCACCCACCAAUUUCUCUCUGGCCUGCAGCUCUCAUCCAGACAGCCAUCACCUUUUGCUACCUUCUGCAUUGAGAAGCACUUAGAAAACAUUCAUUGGCUGACACAUCCGCAGGCUAGGUACAGCCUGCAGCAGCCACAGCGAUCUUAACUGACAGCAAAGAAAGCCAGACUUUCUGGCACCAGGGCUUCAUGUGCGAAGCAGAAAUAACAUAGAAGGAAAGCAUUCCUGUUUGUAUCUGCCCUUCUGUAAUGCAGGGGUUUCCCCAGAAACUACCAAGCAGCCCAAGUCCUGCUUCUGUGUACUAAUAUCUGCUACAACAGCAUCCAACAGCAAUGAAGUAUCACCUUUCACUGCAGAUGCUGAAAGCCCUGUGGCCAGGUCAAACAUAACUUGUUUCUUGGAGAAUGACUGCAAUCUAAGGCUAAUCAAAAAGCUGCACAGUUUGGGUGCUUUUUAGGGGGAGUUUCUCCCUGUGGCCUCAUAGAUUUAGUGCUGACCAGGUGAGUUUGUACAGACUGAGGUCUGUAACUUCAGGCCGCUGUGCAGCCAGCAUCAAUACUCCUUAGAUAGUAUGUUUUUGUGCUAGUUAUGCCUGCAUGAGGAGAUAGAGGAACCAGGAUCUCUACUCUGUCUCAUCUUCCUAGAAGGAGGAGCAGAGUUAUUCAAGUACUUUAUGUGUAUGUUCAACUAUCAGCCCUUCCCAACAGUGAUUAAAUGGGUUUGUGACACACACCAGACUGGCCAACAGUAGAGCAGGGAGAACAGCUAAGAGCAGGCAGUAACCUUGCAGAAGUAAACCAAGCCAAAGAAACUUUCCCCUUGCACACAAGGCUUGCUCAAAAUUCAUCCUCACAUCAUUGCCCUUGCCAUCAUUGCUUUGCCUCAUUACUACAUUUCUGUAUGCUUGUACAGUCACUCAGUUGUUUCACAGAGUUGGCAUGUGCCAGUGCUUGGCCAAGACACAAAUGAGGAGUAGCUUUCUCCUGACACCAGGUUUGUGAGAGCCUGUACAACUGCUCCGCUUCCCUGUGAAGAUCUUCAGAGCAUUUUCCAUCCCCCUGUUGGUCCUCUUGCUGUCCCAGUGCACAGUUAUGGCAUGAGCAGAUGUUUUGUUCUCCAUGGUUUGUCAUCACAGGGACAGUGAACACGUUUUCUCUUUGAAAACUUGUUUUCUUUCUGCUCUAUAUACCAUUCCUUCUCUGGUUGUUUCUGUGGUGCCACAGCAGACAUUCUCCUCAGCCUUCUGAAAUCACCUUUGGGUUUAAGAAAACAGAGGUGUCUGCAGCACAGGUGUCUGUCUCUGUCUUCCUCCACAAAUUCAAUGUAAAAAACUCUCAGGAACAGUUACCUUCACCCUCAAAUACGUUCUCAGUCUGGGUUAGUUGCCCUCAAAGCAUCCAGUUCUCUCCACUCACUGUGAGAGGACCUCAGAUCAGGGCAAGGAAAACAUCAAAUGAGAUGAGUGUGAGACUCUCACCCAGAGCACCACCUCACUCAGUUCCAUGAUGGUGACUCAUCCUUCUCCCUCUCUGCCCUAGAUCUAGCUUUCUUUGUCCCAAAUUCAUCUGGGUCUGACAGGAUUUUUUCCUUGAGGAUCAUCACAUGGACUCAAGCUCAACCGGGCUAUACAGAGAUCAUCACAUUCACUAAGUCCUUCCAUUGGGUGGUACAGAAUCACUGUCAUGCUGUCUGGUCCUGGCCAACACCUAUUCAUCUUCCUUCAGUGUCUUUGGAAUUGUCUCUACGUGCAGUUGGGUCUGCCAGCUCUCAGAGUUGGGUUUGUUUUGUUGUUAUGAGCUCACAGCAGCCCCUGGAGUGCAGCCUCUUGGGUGUAGGGAGUUCUGCAAUAAGUCAGACUUCAGUGCCUGAAAUACACUCUUUGCUUGAUUAAAUCUGAAUGGGGAUUAGUAAUGGAGAAGGAAAGAUCUGCAACUUUAAUUCAUGGACAUUAUCCUCUAUCCUUCCCUCACGCACUUAGCAGCAGGGAGGAUGCCUAGCUGCAGAGCAGCACAUUCAUUAGAGGUACAAGGAUCCCCAUGCUCCCUGUGUGCUUAUCCCAGCU
ensembl:lncRNA